AGUGCACUUUACUCGAAAACAACAAAAUCAACACUUUGGAUGGCUGUACUCAUGUACUGCAUGCACAAGCACAACAUCUGCAUAUGCACUGCCGGAUUUGACUGGACGCGCUGUGCGCAGCACCUCUUUUUUUUUUCUUUUAUUCGCAGCCAGUUCAUUUCAGUCAAGGCCUUGUUUACUUCCUGAAAAGCUUUGCAAAAAACUAGAAUUUUUUUUGUAUUUGACAAUUAUUAUCUAAUCAUAGAUUAACUAGGUUUAAAUGAUUUGUCUUAUAAAUUAUAUAUAAACUAUAUAAUUAGUUAUUUUUUUAUCUAAAUUUAAUGCUCCAUAUACGUGCUACAAGAUUCGAUAUGUCAAAGAAUCAUGAAUAUUUUAUAAAUUUUUUCGGGAAGUAAAUAAGUCCAAGUCUAAACAAAAAAGCAGCAGCCUUUAAUUGACACCGUGGCUCCUUUUAUGCAUGCAGGGGUGCAAGUACUGCGUGCGUGGCUGCAUGCUGCUCCUCUGCCAUCCUUCUAAUCCACCGUGAAGGGCUGAAGGCCUACCUUUAUAGUAGCUUCAUUGUUAAGCGGUAAUGUUUAUGUCGGCAUUUAUUUAUUUAUUUAUUCGUAGGCGGCGCUAAAAGUUUUU
rnacentral:lncRNA from 1 species